rnacentral:rRNA from 1 species
UACGUAGGGUGCGAGCGUUGUCCGGAAUUACUGGGCGUAAAGAGCUCGUAGGUGGUUUGUCGCGUUGUUCGUGAAAACUCACAACUCAAUUGUGGGCGUGCGGGCGAUACGGGCAGACUGGAGUACUGCAGGGGAGACUGGAAUUCCUGGUGUAGCGGUGGAAUGCGCAGAUAUCGGGAGGAACACCAGUGGCGAAGGCGGAGACCUGGGCCGAUACUGACGCUGAGGUGCGAAAGCGUGGGGAGCAAACAGG